rnacentral:lncRNA from 1 species
AACUGCCACACCGACAUCAUGCCUGGCACUUGGUGUUUCGAUCAACCAACGGCUUCGUAACGCUGAACGAAGCGAAAUCAAGGUUGGCAGCGCAGGUAGAGAAUGUACUGGAGACGGCACCACCACUGCUACUUCACGUUAUGCCUGUCAACCAACGUGUACGGAAUCAGAUGAAUGCACGGAAGAAGAGAAGGAUGAACUCCAUAUAACACCUUGCUUCUCUCAAGAUAGGGAAGAAUGUGAGAAUGGCAGUCCCUGUUUUGACGGUGACGGAAUGGCCACCAGUUCCUGUGAACUCAACAGCAUGAGCCGGAGUUCCACCGAACCGCAAGGAUUCCUUGGACAAAUGAAUGACGAGGAACACCAUAACGCCACACUUUCGUGCACCCUGAGCAGCGAAAAGCACC